rnacentral:rRNA from 1 species
CCUACGGGAGGCAGCAGUAGGGAAUCUUUCACAAUGGGCGAAAGCCUGAUGGAGCAACGCCGCGUGCAGGAUGAAGACCUUCGGGUUGUAAACUGCUUUUAUAAGCGAGAAAUAUGAUGGUAACUUAUGAAUAAGGAUCGGCUAACUACGUGCCAGCAGCCGCGGUCAUACGUAGGAUCCGAGCAUUAUCCGGAGUGACUGGGUGUAAAGAGUUGCGUAGGUGGCAUAAUAAGUAGCUAGUGAAAUCGGGUGGCUCAACCAUUCAGACUAUUAGCUAAACUGUUAAGCUCGAGACCGUUAGGGGUAACUGGAAUUUCUAGUGUAGGAGUGAAAUCCGUAGAUAUUAGAAGGAACACCAAUAGCGUAGGCAGGUUACUGGGACGGUUCUGACACUAAGGCACGAAAGCGUAGGGAGCAAACGGGAUUAGAUACCCCGGUAGUC